rnacentral:rRNA from 1 species
UAGGGAAUAUUGGACAAUGGGGGAAACCCUGAUCCAGCGAUGCCGCGUGUGUGAAGAAGGCCUUAGGGUUGUAAAGCACUUUAAUGAGGGAGGAUUAGGAUGCGUUGAAUAGACGUGUCUGAGGACGUUACCUCAAGAAUAAGCACCGGCUAACUCUGUGCCAGCAGCCGCGGUAAUACAGAGGGUGCGAGCGUUAAUCGGAAUUACUGGGCGUAAAGCGUGCGCAGGCGGUUUGGUAAGACAGAUGUGAAAUCCCCGGGCUUAACCUGGGAACUGCAUUUGUGACUGCCAGACUAGAGUGUAGCAGAGGGGGGUAGAAUUCCACGUGUAGCAGUGAAAUGCGUAGAUAUGUGGAGGAAUACCGAUGGCGAAGGCAGCCCCCUGGGCUAACACUGACGCUCAUGCACGAAAGCGUGGGGAGCAAACAGGAUUAGAUACCCUGGUAGUCCCUGAGCGGGCUGGCAAGGCGCAU